rnacentral:rRNA from 1 species
UUGUAUAAUCUAGUAAAACUUAUAGCAACGGAUCUCUUGGCUCUCGUAUCGAUGAAGAACGCAGCGAAAUGUGAUAAGUAAUGUGAAUUGCAGAAUUCAGUGAAUCAUCGAAUCUUUGAACGCAUCUUGCGCUCUUUGGUAUUCCGAAGAGCAUGUCUGUCUGAGUGUCACGAAACUCUCAACCUCCUUUCCUUUGUGAUCGGCUGGUUGGAUCAUGGGCGCUUGCCGGCCAGGUCGGCUCGCCUGAAAUGCAUUUGCGAUGUUGUGUCCUUGUGAGUUGGCCCGACUAGGCGUGAUGGUAACGACGUUCGUCUAGGAUCCCGCUUCGGCGAGGAGCCGCUCCUGUUGGGCGUUUGCCUUCGCAUGAACACUCAUAUCUUUGGUUUAGACCUCAGAUCAGGCAGGAUUACCCGCUGAACUUAAGCAUAUCAAUAAGCGGAGGAA